rnacentral:rRNA from 2 species
UUAGGUUAAGUUAUUAAGGGCGUAUGGUGGAUGCCUUGGCACUAGGAGCCGAUGAAGGACGUGACUAACUGCGAUAUGCUUCGGGGAGUUGUAAGUAAACUAUGAUCCGGAGAUUUCCGAAUGGGGAAACCUAACAGGUUUUACCGCCUGUUAUCACUAAGUGAAUUCAUAGCUUAGUUGAAGGUAGACGUGGGGAACUGAAACAUCUAAGUACCCACAGGAAGAGAAAGAAAUUCGAUUCCCUCAGUAGCGGCGAGCGAACCGGGAAGAGCCCAAACUAAGAAGCUCGCUUCUUAGGGUUGUAGGACUGAACAUUUGAGUUACCAAGAAAUGAAGUAGUUGAAUAAUCUGGGAAGAUUAGCCAAAGAGAGUGAUAGCCUCGUAAGCGAAACUUCGUUUCCUCAGUUCAGGAUCCUGAGUACGGCGGAACACGUGAAACUCCGUCGGAAUCCGGGAGGACCAUCUCCCAAGGCUAAAUACUACCUAGUGACCGAUAGUGAACCAGUACCGUGAGGGAAAGGUGAAAAGCACCCCGGGAGGGGAGUGAAAUAGUUCCUGAAACCAUAUGCCUACAAGUAGUCAGAGCUCGUUAAUGAGUGAUGGCGUGCCUUUUGUAGAAUGAACCGGCGAGUUACGUUAGCGUGCGAGGUUAAGGAGGAAAGUCCGGAGCCGUAGCGAAAGCGAGUCUGAAUAGGGCGAGAUAGUCCGUUGACGUAGACCCGAAACCAGGUGACCUACCCAUGUCCAGGUUGAAGGUGCGGUAAAACGCACUGGAGGACCGAACCCGUGUAUGUUGAAAAAUGCUGGGAUGAGGGGUGGGGAGAGGUGAAAUUCCAAACGAACUUGGAGAUAGCUGGUUCUCUCCGAAAUAGCUUUAGGGCUAGCCUCGGAGUU